AGUGAAUAGAUACCCGGGUAGUCCACGCCGUAAACGAUGGAUGCGUAGCUGUUAUCAGUAUCGACCCUGGUAAGUAGCGAAAGCUAACGCGUUAAGCAUCCCGCCUGAGGAGUACGAGCGCAAGCUUAAAACUCAAAGGAAUUGACGGGGACCCGCACAAGCGGUGGAGCGUGUUGUUUAAUUCGAUGGUAAGCGAAGAACCUUACCAAGGUUUGACAUCCCGAUUGCCGGUUUCCGAAAAGGAAACUUUCAUUUAGUUGGAGUCGGUGACAGGUGAUGCAUGGCCGUCGUCAGCUCGUGUCGUGAGAUGUUUGGUUAAGUCCAUCAACGAGCGCAACCCUUAACUAGUCUGUUGUA
rnacentral:rRNA from 1 species